rnacentral:rRNA from 1 species
AGACGGUUCUCUAGGAUGAUCCAUGACACUGAGGCAUGAAAGUUAGGGGAGCGAACGUGGAUUAGAUACCCCGGUUAGUCCUACCUGUAUACGAUGUGCACUAGAUGUUUCCGCGUCUCAUCGGGAGUGUUCGAAGUUAACGUGAUAAGUGCCCCGCCCUGGGGAUUACGGUCGCAAGGCGUGAGACUCUAAGGAAUUUACGGGGGCGACGCACAAGCGGUGGAGCAUAUGGUUUAAUUCCGACGCUACAGCGUAGUAACACUUACCUGUGCUUGAAAUGAUGGGUUUAGCUUCCUGAAAGGGAAGUGAACCUGCACGCAGGAGACCAGCAGAGAUGCUGCAUGGACGUCGUCAGCUCGCGUCGUGAGAUGAAGGGCUAAGUCACGCAACGACGCGCAACCCUUGCCGUGAGAAAAACAGCGAGCCGUGGCGGGUACUCUAAGGAGGACGGCCACGGACAACCAUGGAGGAAGGUGGGGACGAGUACAACUCAGCAAGGCCGGCAAUCACAGGCCGAGCACAUAAUAAACAAAGCGCGGGACGAAGGUACGCGCCACCGCAAGGUGGAGCUAAUCUUCAAAGCUGCUCUCGCUUCGGAUCGCAGGCAUGCAAUUCGCCUGCGUGAAGUUGGAAUCGCUAGUAAUCGCGGAUCAGCCUCGCCGCGGUGAAUACGUUCUCGGGCCUUGACACACCGCCCGUCACAUCACGAAAGUUGGUUAUACCCGAAGUCGCCGGGCUA